AACGCACAUUGCGCCCUUUGGUAUUCCGAAGGGCAUGCCUGUCUGAGCGUCAAUAAAUCAAUCAAACCUUGGUUUGGUAUUGGGAGAAGUGGCAUUGCCUCUCUCCUCUAAGCUAUUGGCGGCGCUAUUUCAGCUUGUAAGAUGUAGUAAGUAAUUUCUCGUCAAAACAACUGGGUGGUUGCCUGCCAACUGAACGAUUUAUUUUACAGCUUGACCUCAGAUCAGGUAGGGAUACCCCCUGAACUUAA
rnacentral:misc_RNA from 2 species